rnacentral:rRNA from 1 species
CCUACGGGAGGCAGCAGUGGGGGAUAUUGCACAAUGGGGGAAACCCUGAUGCAGCGAUGCCGCGUGAAUGAAGACGGCCUUCGGGUUGUAAAGCUCUGUCGCAGUGGACGAAAAUGACGGUACCCUGCAAGAAAGCUCCGGCUAACAACUUCCCAGCAGCCGCGGCAAUACGCGGGGAGCAAGCGUUGUCCGGAAUUACUGGGUGUAACGGGAGUGUAGGCGGGAGGAUAAGUUGAAUGUGAAAUUUAUGGGCCAAACGCAUAGCUGCAUUGCAAACUGUUCUUCGUGAGUGCAGUAGAGGAAGGCGGAAUUCCUGGUGUAGCGGUGAAAUGCGUAGAUAUUAGGAGGAACACCAGUGGCGAAGGCGGCCUGCUGGGCUUUUACUGACGCUGAGGCUCGAAAGCGUGGGUAGCAAACAGGAUUAGAUACCCCUGUAGUC